rnacentral:rRNA from 1 species
GACGAACGCUGGCGGCGUGCUUAACACAUGCAAGUCGAACGAUGAAGCCUUCGGGUGGAUUAGUGGCGAACGGGUGAGUAACACGUGGGUGACCUGCCCUGCACUUUGGGAUAAGCCUGGGAAACUGGGUCUAAUACCGGAUAGGACCAUGGCCUGCAUGGGUUGUGGUGGAAAGCUUUUGCGGUGUGGGAUGGGCCCGCGGCCUAUCAGCUUGUUGGUGGGGUGAUGGCCUACCAAGGCUUCGACGGGUAGCCGGCCUGAGAGGGUGUCCGGCCACACUGGGACUGAGAUACGGCCCAGACUCCUACGGGAGGCAGCAGUGGGGAAUAUUGCACAAUGGGCGCAAGCCUGAUGCAGCGACGCCGCGUGGGGGAUGACGGCCUUCGGGUUGUAAACCUCUUUCAAUAGGGACGAAGCGCAAGUGACGGUACCUAUAGAAGAAGCACCGGCCAACUACGUGCCAGCCGCCGCCGUAAAAC